CCAAGGAGUCUAACAUGUGCGCGAGUCAUUGGGGAUCUCUCGAGACCCACAGGCACAAUGAAAGUGAAGGUAGGAGCUAGUCUCCACCGAGGCGGGAUCCGUCCGGGAAGGCCCAGCUUCCAAAAGAAGCUGUUCCCGGCGGCGCACCGCCGGCCCGUCGCAACCGCUACGCCGGUGCGGCGGAGCAAGAGCGUACACGUUGGGACCCGAAAGAUGGUGAUCUAUGCCUGGGCAGGACGAAGCCAGAGGAAACUCUGGUGGAGGUCCGUAGCGAUUCUGACGUGCAAAUCGAUCGUCGGACCUGGGUAUAGGGGCGAAAGACUAAUCGAACCGUCUA
rnacentral:rRNA from 1 species